rnacentral:hammerhead_ribozyme from 1 species
AUCCAGCUGACGAGUCCUGAAAUGGGACGAAACGUGCUUCCUGGAU